GUCCGGAUCGCAGUCUGCAACUCGACUGCGUGAAGUCGGAAUCGCUAGUAAUCGCGAAUCAGAAUGUCGCGGUGAAUACGUUCCCGGGCCUUGUACACACCGCCCGUCACACCAUGGGAGUGGGUUGCACCAGAAGUAGCUAGUCUAACCUUCGGGAGGACGGUUACCACGGUGUGAUUCAUGACUGGGGUGAAGUCGUAACAAGGUAGCCGUAGGGGAACCUGCGGCUGGAUCACCUCCUUAA
rnacentral:rRNA from 1 species